rnacentral:rRNA from 1 species
AGUGAACGCUGGCGGUAGGCCUAACACAUGCCAGUCGAACGGCAGCACAGUAAGAGCUUGCUCUUACGGGUGGCGAGUGGCGGACGGGUGAGGAAUACAUCGGAAUCUACUUUUUCGUGGGGGAUAACGUAGGGAAACUUACGCUAAUACCGCACACGACCUACGGGUGAAAGCAGGGGAUCUUCGGACCUUGCGCGAUUGAAUGAGCCGAUGUCGGAUUAGCUAGUUGGCGGGGUAAAGGCCCACCAAGGCGACGAUCCGUAGCUGGUCUGAGAGGAUGAUCAGCCGCACUGGAACUGAGACACGGUCCAGACUCCUACGGGAGGCAGCAGUGGGGAAUAUUGGACAAGGGGCGCAAGCCUGAUCCAGCCAUACCGCGUGGGUGAAGAAGGCCUUCGGGUUGUAAAGCCCUUUUGUUGGGAAAGAAAAGCAGCAGGUUAAUACCCCGCUGUUCUGACGGUACCCAAAGAAUAAGCACCGGCUAACUUCGUG